UACGAAGGGGGCUAGCGUUGCUCGGAAUCACUGGGCGUAAAGGGUGCGUAGGCGGGUCUUUAAGUCAGAGGUGAAAUCCUGGAGCUCAACUCCAGAACUGCUUUUGAUACUGAAGAUCUUGAGUUCGGGAGAGGUGAGUGGAACUGCGAGUGUAGAGGUGAAAUUCGUAGAUAUUCGCAAGAACACCAGUGGCGAAGGCGGCUCACUGGCCCGAUACUGACGCUGAGGUGCGAAAGCGUGGGGAG
rnacentral:rRNA from 1 species